rnacentral:rRNA from 1 species
UUCGGCGGCCAUAGCAAGAGGGAAACGCCCGGUCACAUUCCGAACCCGGAAGCUAAGACUCUUUGCGCCGAUGGUACUGCAGGGGGACCCUGUGGGAGAGUAGGACACCGCCGGAC